CACAGUUCACAUAAGGCUCUCCAGUCCCUCGCAGCCCCGCACCCGGACACGCACCCUCCUCACAAAGCUACCACACAUGCCCCAGCCCGGGAUUACACGAUGGAGACAGCAUUUCCCAGUACUGGUUGUUUCCAGCUGCUACAAGUGGAGCUGGAGCCGAGCAACGAACCGAGAGCGGGGACACUUCGCUGCACUCUCAGUGACCUCUCUGCUGGCAUCGAGGCAACGUGAAGGAAGAAGCUAUCUGAUUCACAGGCAGGACGAGAGCUGGAUCUAAGGAGAACCAGCAGGCUACUGGAAUCGGGAACACGUGGGAUGAACACGAGGACUUGCAGGGAAGGCAGAUAUGCAGGACUGGCAGGACGGGAAUACUAGGUUUUGAAGCCAGCAAAGGAAGUGACGACGGGCAGAGGCUGAAGCUCCAGAUGUUAGGGCUGUAGGCUACGGGGCUGGUGUGGGUGGAUGGAGGAUGGAGGAAACAAAUUGCCCAGGAAACUGAGGCACAAGUGAGAGAAGCUGCUAAGGAGGCUGGGAUGGAGAGGGAAGGUGUACUGUGCGCACAGGACUGGCACUGGAAAGCAGAGGAGUUUCAGCAAUAAUCGGGACAAGGGGCUGGCAGGCAACGGAUGCUUUUGGUUCAGAAACUGAUCCAUACCCAUAGCAUGACUGAAAAGCUAACAUGAUUUUGAUGUUGAGAAAAAAUUACAGGAGAUAGAAAAAACAGGAAAGUUGUGAUAAUUUGGACUAGUCCACACAGGCAGCUGGAACACGCCGGCCUUACCACCUCCAUUUAGAUUGGGAAAGCCAAAUGGAAAGGGUUAAAGGACAUUUGUACAGAGAAGCUCCUAGAAGCAGCUACAUUGGCAUAAAUGUAAGAUUACACUUAAGCAGUUUUAUAAGCACGGUUAUAGUCCCUCUAUACAUGGCUUCUGCACCCGUAAAAUAUUAUUUGGUUUUAUAAAAAAAAUAUUUACAGAUAGAUUUAAUAAGUCAUCUAGACUUUUCUUCAACCAGCUAAUUCAUGUGUAACUCUGGAAAUGCCAGAGCUGAUGUUGCAGCAAAUGGAGCGGGGCAGAGAGGAGCUGGAACUGUCUGGUUCCAGGCUGUUGGGGCUGUGCACCUGACAGCACCCUGCAUGCAGUCGGUG